UACGUAGGGCGCAAGCGUUGUCCGGAAUCAUUGGGCGUAAAGAGCUCGUAGGCGGCCUGUUGCGUCCGCUGUGAAAUCCCGGGGCUUAACCCCGGGCGUGCAGUGGAUACGGGCUGGCUGGAGGCAGGCAGGGGAGAACGGAAUUCCCGGUGUAGCGGUGAAAUGCGCAGAUAUCGGGAGGAACACCGGUGGCGAAGGCGGUUCUCUGGGACGGUACUGACGCUGAGACGCGAAAGCGUGGGGAGCGAACAGG
rnacentral:rRNA from 1 species